AAAAAAAAAGGAAAAG
rnacentral:sRNA from 1 species